AUGUUUGCUCCAUCUGUGCUCUCUCCCUAUUGUUGUAAGAAGUGUUUUGUGUACACACAAUACAGAUUCCAACUUUACACAAUGCGAUUGAUAAUGUGUUUCCCUCCAAAUCAGUGUAACUUAACAACUGAAGAGAUCAUGUGGGGAAAUCUGACGGCAUUGACUGUUUGCCUUUUAGGCACAGUAUUCAUAUGUGGAGUUAGCAGCACCACAACACCACCAGGGGUUCCAACAACCCCGGCUCCAGGUAGUACAGUGAAACCGACAACCAUCGUUCCAUCAACAACACCAGAGAUUCCAACAACGAAAACGACAACAGAGAAUCCAGCAACGGAACCGCCAACAGCGAAUCCAGCAACGAACCCGACAUCAGAGAAUCCGACAUCAGCAAAUCCAACAAAGCCUACGACAUCCGAAGGCACCCAGAAACCACACACCACCGACGCGGGGCAGGAGCCGGCGCCAGAGGGGCUGAGCGAUGGGGCAAUCGCAGGAAUUGCCGUCGGUUCAAUCGCCGGUGCGGCUGCCUUGGGUGGCGGUAUCUUUGGUCUGCUGAAGUACACUGGAAAGAUUUGA
rnacentral:lncRNA from 1 species